rnacentral:sRNA from 1 species
UACUCAGUACAUUCUGGUAAGGUCAUAAGGCAGUUGGAAAGGCCUGAAAGGUUAACUGAAAUGAUCAAAGGAAUGAAAUAUUAUAGUAAGACCAGAUGAGAAAUUUUCAGCACAGAAAAAUGAUGGGUGAAAAGGGACACAAUCAAAUUCCUGACCAUGAAGGAUAUUAGUAACUGAAACAUGGACUUGUUCAACAAAUUCAAGAAUACUGUAUCUAGGAGAACUCUCUUGAAGCUUGAAGUUCCGCCAUGGUUUUUAAAUCAUCCUUCCAACCUCUAUGCCUAUGAAAGCAUGGAUAUUGAGUUUGAAUGUACAGUCUCUGGAAAGCCUGUGCCCACUGUGAAUUGGAUGAAGAAUGGAGAUGUGGUCAUUCCUAGUGAUUAUUUUCAGAUAGUGGGAGGAAGCAACUUACGGAUACUUGGGGUGGUGAAGUCAGAUGAAGGCUUUUAUCAAUGUGUGGCUGAAAAUGAGGCUGGAAAUGCCCAGACCAGUGCACAGCUCAUUGUCCCUAAGCCUGCUAUCCCAAGCUCCAGUGUCCUCCCUUCGGCUCCCAGAGAUGUGGUCCCUG